CUACGGAGGGUGCAAGCGUUAAUCGGAAUUACUGGGCGUAAAGCGUACGUAGGCGGUUAUUUAAGUCAGAUGUGAAAGCCCCGGGCUUAACUUGGGAACUGCAUUUGAAACUGGGUAACUUGAGUUUAGUAGAGGGGAGUGGAAUUUCAGGUGUAGCGGUGAAAUGCGUAGAGAUCUGAAGGAACACCAGUGGCGAAGGCGACUCCCUGGACUAAAACUGACGCUGAGGUACGAAAGCGUGGGUAGCAAACAGGAUUAGAAACCCUAGUAGUCC
rnacentral:rRNA from 1 species